UACGUAGGCAGCAAGCGUUGUUCGGAGUUACUGGGCGUAAAGAGCUCGUAGGCGGUCUGUUGCGUCCGCUGUGAAAACUCGGGGCUUAACCCCGAGCCUGCAGUGGAUACGGGCAGACUAGAGGUAGGUAGGGGAGAAUGGAAUUCCCGGUGUAGCGGUGGAAUGCGCAGAUAUCAGGAGGAACACCAAUAGCGAAGGCAGCUCGCUGGGACGGUACUGACGCUAAGGCGCGAAAGCGUGGGGAGCGAACAGG
rnacentral:rRNA from 1 species